CUCCCCAUGCCAUUGAGCCCUUGUUGAAUAGCUCACCUAGCAAAUGGCUGUCUAAUGCCAGACUGUUACAAUAUCAAGGACUCUUAUUAAAACAGCCACACAUUAAGUUUGCCACCACCGCUGGCCUCAAUCUGGCUACUCUACUCCCAGAAUCUGACAAAUGCCCAUCUAUGAUUGCCUCGAGACUCUUGAAAACUCAAGGGGAGGACGUCCGGACUUGACGGACCAGGCCCUCCCCAGUGCAGAGAUAACGUUCUAUACUGAUGGGUGCAGUUUCGUUCGUGAUGGUGUACGGUAUGCUGGAGUGGCGGUGGUCAACCAGGACCAACAGGUGGAAUGGGAGCAGGGGCUACCUCAAGGGACAUCAGCACAGAGGGCUGAGCUGAUUGUUUUAACUAAGGCUCUGGAAUUGGGAAAAGGAAAAAGGAUAAAUAUAUUCACUGAUAGCCGUUAUGCUUUUGCUACCGCCCACAUACACGGGGAAAUUUAUCAAAAUAGAGGACUGUUGACCUCUAAAGGAAAGGAAAUUAAAAAUAAGACUGAGAUAUUGGCACUGCUACAAGCCAUCUGGUUUUCCCAAGAGGUUGCCAUCAUCCAUUGCCGUGGGCACCAAAAGGGGUCAAGCCCCGAGGUGAUUGGUAAUAAUGCUGCUGAUCAGGCAGCAAGACAAGCUGCCCAAAAUCAGUGGGGAAGCAAAUGGUUCUGCUUCCCACACCAGUACUCCCAGAAAAACCUGAAUAUACAGACAAGGAGAUAAUGGAAAUAAACAGGAGACGCUGGACUCGAGAAAGACAUGGGUGGUGAACCACUAAGGAAGGAAAAGUGGUGCUCCCAGCCGCUGUAGCAGACACGUUGCUGCGAGAACUACAUGAGUCUACCCACCUCGGUGAGAAAAGGAUGAUGGCUGCCUUACAACCCCAUUUCAUCAGCCAGGGAUUAGCCCAAAAGGCCCAGGACAUGGUGAGACGAUGCCCCACCUGCCUCAAGGUUUGAUUCCAAGACCCUGGAACCUCGUUGGAAGGGACCGGUUCCUGCUGUCCUGUCAACUCCCUUGGCAGUGAAGGUGGCUGGACAUUCUGCCUGGAUACAUCGCAACCAUCUAAAAGCAGGACCCUCCACAGAUGUCAAAAAGGACAAAUGGAAGGUUAUCAGCCAACCAGGUGGCCAAAAGCUAAGACUGGAAUGGGUUGGAGAUGUUUCACCUUAAUGAUAAUAUUCUCUGGGACACUGGCAUUAUUGUCCCCAAGAGGACUAGAUCACACAAAAAAUGUAUGGAUUCAAUUGGCAAACUUGCUUAACUUGUCUGAAUUCUGCUUAAAUGUUGAUGUAAAUUUCCGUUAUGUGCUGGGAAGCUGUCUCAUUCCAGUAUGCACCUCUUUAAAAUUAAUACGACCCUAUACCCUAUUUAAGGACAUCCCA